AAGAAAAAAAAAAUUAAGCUUUCAGAUGAUGUAUGCAUCUCAUUUUCAAAAAACUGCCACUUGUGACUGGUUUUCCGUCCCAAGGUUGCAUAUUUCCAUAAGCGUGUACAAUUUUUCGCUAAAUAAAUUUCAGGUUUAACACCGCGACGUGUUAAGUGCACACUAGAGCAUCCUUCUGUCACAGUUUCAGCGGAGGCUGUGGUGUUUGAGCGUGAGAAGAGGGUCAGUCGCGUGAGUCUAAAUGUGUGAAAGUCUGAAGGCUUGUCACGAAGACAGACGUGACUGAAUAUGAGUGCGUGUUGUUAUUCUUCUCCGACACAUUCGAUUGUCAACUAGAGGAACCUGUUUCAGUCAAUGACUAUGAACCAUAUAUCUCUGUCUUGUUUCAACUUGUGUUGAGUUUGAAUGAUCAUAAUAGUGCUUAUAGUGCAAAAUGCUCUUGAUUUUUUUAACUAGCUGUUUGCCCUGUUUAGUUUUCCUCGCUGAAAUGCCUAGCAGUCUAGUUUCAGUCGAUGCACCUGAUUUUGAACAGUCUGUACGAAUAUAGCUGUUGAAUCUAAGCUAGUGAUCAACAACCCUGAUUUUGAACAGACUGUUCAGUUUCAGUCAGGCCUGUCCUGAGUUUUGAGUCUAGUUAAGCAUUUGUUCAUAGUCUGUUUACCUGUCUCUUGAUCUUUUCGUGUUAACUCAUCCCGUCUGUUCUCUGCCUGCCCUGAAGUUUAAAGGCUGUCUUGGAUGCCUUGCUGUUUCGGACUGUGUUUGCCCCUCACUCGGACUACUUCCUGUUUGUGGAUUUUCUCCCUUUGCCGUCUCCUGUUGGAUAUUGUUCGCUGGAGGCCGAUCACGUCGUCUGUCAAUAAAGCUCUGCAUAUGCUCCCGAACGCUCUCUCUGUUGGUUCCAUCACACACACACGCAUUCCUUCAUAAUCUUUAAUUAAAAAAAUAACGUAAAACAUCAUCUUCUCUGAUGACCAUGCAUGUCCACGCAAGACCUGGAUAAGCUAUUAGGCUUAAAAGGAUUUCUUAUUCUACAACAUUAUUAUUAUAGCUGUCAUCUCUUAUUACUUCUACUUCAGGAGUAGCUAAAUGAACUAUUUAUUCAUUUUAUUCCAUAAUUUGUUGAAACUACGAGAAAUACACAGGGUUCUGGAGUAACUAUGCAUUGCAUUGCAUUAGCUUGAUGCACCUUAAAGACUGGUACGCCUCUAUUUACCAAGUUCUGCUAAGCUUAUUACCUGAAUAUCUUCCAAACCUCUUAUUAAUGCAUAUACAACUAAAUCAUCUAAAUGCAUGUCCUUGUGGAAACCUACUUGUGGUCAUUUAUGACGUUAUGUGAAUAAAACAAGGCCGUAGAUCCCCCGGGGUUGAGCCGAAACCGAUCUACUGAGAGAACUGGGUCCCUCCAUUCUACUGUCCUUUUCUUAGUGCUCUUUAGGGAAAGCAGGUGCGUGACUGACACAAAUAUGCGCUGCGUUCUGUGCAACGACCUGCCUGACAAGUUUUUAAGGAAACCACACGCAGUGGAAGAGGGGCUGCCCAUCAGGAAUAGCCUUAUAUAUAGACUUCAGUUCCUCGUGCGCUCAGAUCUAUUCUUGAAUAAGCAGUGACAUGAUAGGUAUCUUAGAAAGAGAGAAGGCUGGAUUUUUUUCCUUCACACAGUCAUAAGGAAACGAGCGGAGAAAAAGAGCAAUAUGGAGAUCAGAGAGAAAUCACGCUCCUCCAGAACACGGGUACUGCUGAAACAGGAGAGCAUUGAUAAAAGACCAAACUUUUCUCAUGAUUGUAGCGGGCCAGAACAGUGUCAGUGUUUCUUAUCUGAAGAGGGCCAUGAAAAGAGAACGAGGACGUGCCUGCAGUGACGUCAUCGGAGGAACGCGGACUAAGAUGGACCCGCCGGCGACCCUAAAUACUUCAGACACCCUCAGAGUGGCACUGACUGCUGAACAGCAUUUUCUAGUCGAGUUGGUCUUUACAGACACUUGCUGCAACAGGAGAGGAGCAGCUGGAUGAACUUUGACGUGGAGCUAGAUCUUUGAGGAGAUUUACUUCACGCAACGCUUCCCACAGAUCGACUGGCAAAUCGUUCCCUGCUCUUGCGAAACACCGGAUUUCAGAUCGCGCGUUUCAUGGGAAUCAACUGUUUUAAAGCGCCUCGGAGGAUGAUGCUUCAGAUAAACACCAUCUCUGAACACACAACUCAAACACAGUAAGGGGUCCUUCACGUGUGGCGUCUUUUGCGCGCUCAGAUCAGCCGCAAGCGCACCGAGGGUCACGUGACAAGAAUCAACCAAUCAGCUGCAAGCUCAACCAAAAUAAAGCAAUUGUUGGUCAAAGCUGUACAGGGAUAGCUAUUUUAAAGUAAACUUAGUGGCAGGCUAGACUUUUUUCAGGCAUUUUUUAAUAAUCUCUUCGCAAAUGCAUGCUGAACUUUACUGGACAGUAUCUGCUGUGAUUUAUUUAGAUAAAUGAUUUGUAAUUUUAGAUGAAUUUUCUGUUCUGAUAGAUAGAUCAAAAAUGAACAAUGGGUAGUAAUGCAUCAUAUUUAAUCAGUAACUAUGUUACCAAACACUGGCCUACUCAAUACGCCUGUUUAAUCAGAGCAACAAUA